UCUGAUUCAGCUGAAGUUUGUUGCUGUUCUGUCAUAAAUUUUUACACCAUAAUUCGUGUAAUGGGUUGUCGUAGAAAUUGUUGCACAUGUUGCAUUAUAUUUUUAUUGCCACCGAUUUCCGUUCUUCUGUUCACCGACGCUGAGAAAGUCAUACCGCCCAGUGAAUAUCUCAAUGGGGAAGAGUUAAAGAAGAAGCGGAGUUCGGCGAUAUGCUUAUUAACCUCAGUAAAUCUACUUCUCACGUUAUUGUUCUAUCUUCCCGGACUUAUCCAUGCAAUUUGCAUCUAUCGCAAAUACGGAAAGAAUGAUGACGCAGAUGAUACAUCUUCAACUGGAAGUUGCGGAAGUUGUGGGAGCUGUGGGAGCUGUGGAAGUUGUGGGAGUUGCGGAAGCUGCGGAAGUUGUGGGAGCUGUGGGUGUUGACAAUUGCAUUCAUUGCAUUAUUUUUUCAUAAGCAAAUAAGAAUGUACAUACAUAUUGAUUUUUAUUUUCCUAAUGUUCAUUAUUAUUAUUAUUUAUUAAACAAGCUUGCUUCUUUACGAAGCUCGUUAUGCCUGACAAAAAUGGAUUAAUUCACAGAACAUAAGUUUGUUGUAUAAAGGUAAAAUAAUCAAAUAAAGUGGAUAAUAUAAUGAGUUUGAAUAAUA